AAAUAACAUUCGUGAAUUUUUUCGCGGAUUUGAGUUUUCCAGUAUUUUUAUUAUAAAAAAAUGUUGGUAACUUUAAAAUUAUUUAUUACUUGGUACAAGUUGAAAACGUACUAUAUGUGUGGUUCGCUGACAACUUGUCCAUCUUCAUAUAUUAUGCGCGCACUUGGUUUUUACGCUCUGUGCGAGUAUAUAUUUUUU
rnacentral:misc_RNA from 1 species